GCAGACACAUUCCAGCCAAUCAGCAGCAGACCCUCCCUCCCAGACCCUCCCACCUCCUGGACAGCUCACUAAGAAUGCAGCUUCACAAUGAAUGUAAAAUGGAUGCUGUCCAGGAGGUGGGAGGGUCUGGGAGGGAGGGUCUGCUGCUGAUUGGCUGGAAUGCUGAU